UAUAUCUUACAAUUCCAUUGCCUACAGAGUAGUUUAAAUGGAAAUAAGAAGUACUGGCCUUUUAAUAAUUGUGACUUAUACCACACACCAGCAAGGAACUAUGUCACCAUCCAAAGUCUGGAUUUCACAACUGCAUUCAUGUGAAAAAUGCAUAACAAGAACUCAUUAGAUGCUGAGAAUUUCAGGAUGGAAUAGCUAAAUGGAGGCGUCAUAACACUUCAAUGUCUUCUGGGGCUGAAGCUUUGUGGGGCUUUUUGAAAAGGCUUUAUUUCCAUUGUGCUCUGAGGUAACCUUGCGGUGUGUUUGCCCCUACGGUGUCA